UACAGAGGUCUCAAGCGUUGUUCGGAUUCAUUGGGCGUAAAGGGUGCGUAGGUGGCGGGGUAAGUCAGGUGUGAAAUCUCGGAGCUCAACUCCGAAACUGCACUUGAUACUGCCUUGCUCGAGUACUGGAGAGGAGAUUGGAAAUUUACGGUGUAGCAGUGAAAUGCGUAGAUAUCGUAAGGAAGACCAGUGGCGAAGGCGAAUCUCUGGACAGUUACUGACACUGAGGCACGAAGGCCAGGGGAGCAAACGGG
rnacentral:rRNA from 1 species